AAGAUGCAACGCGACCUCCUUCCCACAGCAACGAAAGACUGCGACUCCCCGGACUAUCAGGCCGGGAGAGUCCACUUCCAGCUCACCUCGGAGCUCCGGGAGCCUUUCAGCACCUGCUUGGUGAGCGCGAUUACGUCAGUACCACAGGUGGUCACCUUCUCCGUGAGAAGCCCCUUCACGGACUGACCGAACCGCGCUUGAGACUCUGGCGUUCCAGUCGCCAUCAUUUCAGUUAGCGAACGGUUGCGCACUGACGAUGGCUGGAGUACACGGGUGUGAUCUUGGCUCACUGCAACCUCCGCCUCCCGGGUUCAAGCGAUUCUCCUGCCUCAGCCUCCCAAGUAGCUGGGACUACAGUAGAGACGGAGUUUCACCGUGUUAGCCAGGAUGGUCUCGAUCUCCUGACCUUGUGAUCUGCUGGCGUCAGCCUCCCAAAGUGCUGGGAUUACAGGCGUGAGCCACCAUGCCCGGCCAGGAAUUCUCUCAAUUAUGAAAUCUUGCAGAGAAGUUAUUUUUCUUUCUCAAAAUCCAGAUGAUGACAAUAUUCCUUACUCCAGAUCUGGCAUUUUUUCAUCAUCACUGU
ensembl:lncRNA novel transcript, antisense to C10orf32